AAUCAACGCUGGCGGCGUGCCUAACACAUGCAAGUCGCACGAGAAAGGGUCUUCGGAUCUGAGUAAAGUGGCGCACGGGUGAGUAACACGUGAAUUAUCUACCUUCGAGUGGGGAAUAACUUCGGGAAACCGAGGCUAAUACCGCAUAAUAUCUACGGAUCAAAGCAGUAAUGCGCUUGAAGAGGAGUUCGCGGCAGAUUAGUUAGUUGGCGGGGUAAUGGCCCACCAAGACGAUGAUCUGUAUCCGGCCUGAGAGGGCGCACGGACACACUGGAACUGAAACACGGUCCAGACUCCUACGGGAGGCAGCAGUGGGGAAUUUUGCGCAAUGGGGGAAACCCUGACGCAGCAACGCCGCGUGGAGGAUGAAGUCUCUUGGGACGUAAACUCCUUUCGAUAGGGAAGAUUAUGACGGUACCUAUAGAAGAAGCCCCGGCUAACUUCGUGCCAGCCGCCGCCGUAA
rnacentral:rRNA from 1 species